rnacentral:lncRNA from 1 species
UAGGUGUUGGUUGGGCUGAAAGAAGGGUUGGGGUAUUGAUUAUGAGGUGAGUUAGAAAGGCAGAGAGUGAGCAGAAAAGUAAAUAGUUCGGUUUUACCUGGAGUGAAGCCACAGAGAGAGCCCCGGAAGAAAAGGUCGGUUAUCCACUUGAAAAAGGCUUCUAGGGUGUAGUUCCGUGGGCGGAACCAGGAAAUAUCUUGUGUGAGGACGUGAAGUAAGAGAGUGAAGUGGCAGGAUAGACAAAAGUAGGGCAUCUAGGGGGAUAUGGGAAUGUUUGUUAGUGAUUGUGAUUUCUGCUAUAAGGGUAACGAUUAGGCAGAAGGCUAAAAUGAGGGAGACUUUUUGGCUAGUAUUCCGAUUGGAAGGAGUUACAUUAUAUAAUUUCACUGUAAACAAUAGGCUUUCUUGGGGAAGAAAACACAUGCACAAAUCCUGGUGUAAGGAAUAUUUUAAGCAUAUAUCUUCAAUAUCAUUCAUCCAGGACCGAGCAAGACCAACACUCUUCCUCCUCCUCUGCCUACUCAAUGUGAAGACAAUGAGGAUGAACACCUUUAUGAUGCUCCACUUCCACUUAUUGAAUAGUGCUACACAUGAAACUUGUAACCAGUUACUACAGGCGAAAGCAAAUCCAUGUCUUCAGGCUGGUGUCAUCAGGGAGAGAAGCUUUGGUUUCCACAUAAGGAUAUAAGAUCAUUGAUGUAAAACAAGACAUGUAACCUCUCAAAUUGAGAGAAUGGAUUGGAGAGAUAUUGUUGACCAUGUUUUCCCCUGUAUCUCACCUUCCCCUCUCCAAGACUUCCUUGUCAGUUACCCAUAUUGAUAUCAGUUUAUCCACAUCCAUGCUUUCAAGUUUAAACAAAGAAACUAGGCAAAGGCAGCUAUGUAUUCGCUAGGAUUAGGGAGGAGAAGAUAAUGAACCACUGGAUAGUGAGAAGAAAGAGAGGUGGAGAAAGUGAGAGACCCCAGUAACAGAGGACAGGGACACAUUGCUAAGGAUAGGGACACAUUCACUGUAAUAUAGAAGGCCAUGCUUAUAUGUAAAAUAUGCAGUAAUUGUAUAUAUAUGUACAAAAGUGAUGACACACAUAUGCACAUAAACAAAACACAAUUACUGUCUAUGUUUCUUUAUUUGUGACCUAAUGUUUUAUGUUGUUUGUAACUGAAAAAAAAAUUCCCUUCUGAAUAAAAUGUCAAUUUUGCGAUUGCAUUUUUUCUUGUUUUUACUGUAAUAUUUCAAUUAUUUGUAUAUAUAUAUUUUUGAGACAGGAUUUCACUCUGUUGGACAGGCUGGAGUGCAUUGGCCUGAUCAUGGCUCUCUGCAGCCUUGAUAUCCUGGGCUUGAGCAAACCUUACACCUUUGCUUCCUAAGUAUCUGGGACUAUAGGCGUGCACCACUGUAUCUGGC